CAACCUUGGGAGAUGGGUGUUUUUGCUCCCAAGUUUCUGACUAGGUCAACAGCUGCAAUGCCACGCUGGAAUUUUAAUCCAGCAAUGAAAAGGAAAAACAGGGAAGAUAAAAGCACAGCUAAAAUACAACCCUGAUGAGCUGCCACCAUUGCAAUCACCAUGAAACCGCAGUUCAGGGCUGUUAGAGACCAAGAAGACUGAAAAUGGUUUUGAUGACUAGUACUGCUCUUCUGAAAAGAAACAGUGAACGCUGGAGUCGAAUGUGA